rnacentral:rRNA from 1 species
CCUACGGGUGGCAGCAGUGGGGAAUAUUGGACAAUGGGCGAAAGCCUGAUCCAGCCAUGCCGCGUGUGUGAAGAAGGCCUUCGGGUUGUAAAGCACUUUCAGUGGGGAAGAAAGCCUUGGGGCUAAUACCCUCGAGGAAGGACAUCACCCACAGAAGAAGCACCGGCUAACUCCGUGCCAGCAGCCGCGGUAAUACGGAGGGUGCGAGCGUUAAUCGGAAUUACUGGGCGUAAAGCGCGCGUAGGCGGUCUGAUAAGCCGGUUGUGAAAGCCCCGGGCUCAACCUGGGAACGGCAUCCGGAACUGUCAGGCUAGAGUGCAGGAGAGGAAGGUAGUAUUCCCGGUGUAGCGGUGAAAUGCGUAGAGAUCGGGAGGAAUACCAGUGGCGAAGGCGGCCUUCUGGACUGACACUGACGCUGAGGUGCGAAAGCGUGGGUAGCAAACAGGAUUAGAUACCCUAGUAGUC